GACACUGUAGCCGAUCCAAAUUGGAUCGAUUCGAUCGAUCUCUUGCCUCUACAGCAUCAAAACUACUCCAUAAAUACUCAUAUCUCCGUCUCGUCCUAUUUUUCGGCAAAAUAGCCGUCUCCCGUACCCUAGAACGGCGCCCCGAUCUCGCCGGAGUUCUUCGCCCGAAGCUCCUGUCGCUGUCGAUUCUGUCGCGUCUGGACGCAUCCAAACCGAGCACAUCGAGCUUGACCCGAAGCUCCACUCCGACGUCUCCGCUCCAGCCGGUCCUCGUGGACGCUAGCAGAAGCUCCGGUCGCCCAGUGGACAUCUUCGAGUUCGACGUGUCCCUCCACGCCUCGUCCUGCUCUCCCCGAGCUCGGGAGGCCUCUCCAGCGACGCCAGCUUCAAAUCCGAGCCGCGCCGCCGCGUCUCGUUCAAUUCCGGCCGGCCUACUCUGUUCCUCUCCGAUUGUCCGGAGUGUGAAGCAGAUCGGAAUUAAUCGUUAGAGUACUUCAGCACCGUUCAAGG